GCGACACUAGCUCAGUUGGUCGAGCGCAACCUUGCCAAGGUUGAGGUCACGAGUUCGAACCUCGUGUGUCGCUCCA
rnacentral:tRNA from 1 species